rnacentral:rRNA from 1 species
AACACAUGCAAGUCGAACGGCAGCACAGGAGAGCUUGCUCUCUGGGUGGCGAGUGGCGGACGGGUGAGGAAUACAUCGGAAUCUACCUUUUCGUGGGGGAUAACGUAGGGAAACUUACGCUAAUACCGCAUAAGACCUUCGGGUGAAAGCCGGGGACCUUCGGGCCUGGCGCGGAUAGAUGAGCCGAUGUCGGAUUAGCUUGUUGGCGGGGUGAAAGCCCACCAAGGCGACGAUCCGUAGCUGGUCUGAGAGGAUGAUCAGCCACACUGGAACUGAGACACGGUCCAGACUCCUACGGGAGGCAGCAGUGGGGAAUAUUGGACAAUGGGCGCAAGCCUGAUCCAGCCAUACCGCGUGGGUGAAGAAGGCCUUCGGGUUGUAAAGCCCUUUUGUUGGGAAAGAAAUCCUGCCGGUUAAUAACCAGUAGGGAUGACGGUACCC